rnacentral:rRNA from 1 species
GACGAACGCUGGCGGCGUGUCUAAUACAUGCAAGUAGAACGCUGAAGGAGGAGCUUGCUUCUCUGGUUGAGUUGCGUACGGGUGAGUAACGCGUAGGUAACCUGCCUGGUAGCGGGGGAUAACUAUUGGAAACGAUAGCUAAUACCGCAUAAUAGUAGAUGUCGCAUGACAUUUGCUUUAACGUUGCAAUUGCAUCACUACCAGGUGGACCUGCGUUGUAUUAGCUAGUUGGUGAGGUAAUGGCUCACCAAGGCAACGAUACAUAACCGACCAGGGAUGGUGACAGGCCAAGCUGAGACUGAGGCACGGCCCAGACUGCUACGAGAGAGAGCAGUACGGAAUCCUUGGCAAAGGACGGAAGGCUGACCGAGCAACGCCGCGUGCGUGAAGAAGGUUUUAGGAACGAAAAGCUCUGUUAUAAGAGAAGAACGAGUGGGAGAGUGGAAAGUUCACACUGUGACGGUAUCUUACCAGAAAGGGACGGCUAACUACGUG